UACGAAGGGGGCUAGCGUUGCUCGGAAUCACUGGGCGUAAAGGGUGCGUAGGCGGGUCUUUAAGUCAGGGGUGAAAUCCUGGAGCUCAACUCCAGAACUGCCUUUGAUACUGAGGAUCUUGAGUUCGGGAGAGGUGAGUGGAACUGCGAGUGUAGAGGUGAAAUUCGUAGAUGUUCGCAAGAACACCAGUGGCGAAGGCGGCUCACUGGCCCGAUACUGACGCUGAGGCACGAAAGCGUGGGGAGCAAACAGG
rnacentral:rRNA from 1 species